UAUCUAUCUAUCUAUCUAUCUAUCUAUCUAUCUAUCUAUCUAUCUAUCUAUCUAUCUAUCAUUUUAACUGAUAUAUCUAUGGCAGAAACUGAAGUAGGAAAGGGGCAUCAUCAUAUGUAAUUUGGGGGUGGGGAUGAGUGGGGAACUAUUAUAUGAUGGUGGGAAACCAAACAUAGCCUGCUUGAGUAGAUGAAUUGACACUUUAAAAAUUGUGGUUUUAGGAAUCAGUUGUAGGCUACAAAAUCACUUGGGAGGAUAAAAAGAUGAUUCCUUGACAACUGUAUAUAUUUGUUUUACAUGUUUCAUGUGCCGCAUGUAACAUGGACUUGAAAAGUCUUGGAACUAUUAAACUUUUUUCCUCUAACGAGCAACAAAGGUUUUAGAAGAGUGGUAUCAAGCCUAGCAGAUGAUGUCAUUCACUUCUUUAAUUCAAAAUACCCUUCACCUGAACAUACCUAUCUAUAUUUCGUCUGAAUACAUUCAGGAAAGUGGCUAGUGUUUCUAGCUGCCUUCUUCUGCUCAUCUCUUUGUACCUUAACACAUGAUCAUAAUUAGUCAUUUCUAUUCAUUGUAACUACUAAAGACAGAUAUUUAAGCUAUAGGUUUUGCAGAAAAUACCGUGCAUUUUAACACUCAAUGGGAAUUUUCUCUUAUCCUUAAGAAAAGAUCGAGCUUUUUAUUCUGAGAAGACAGAGAAAGGAAAAGAGAGCAGGGGAUUUACUGAAAGCAAGGAGAUGAGUCACCUUCAUGGCUUAUAAAAGGUCCCAGGAUGGUAUGGGGUUGACCUUCUUUGCCUAAGUUCUGUUACAAGACUGCAGGGAAUAGAACCAGGGCAAUGGGCAUGUUCCAAUGCCUUCUAGGUGGCUGUUAGAACAUAUUUUCUUUGUAUUUGUGAGCUUUCAUUCUUUUUCUUUCUUUUGAGAGAGAGAGAGAGAAAGGAAACCUACACCCUGAGUGUUUUUCGGUUUGCAAGAAGGUGGAACAAAAGAAAGUCUGCAGCCACUCUUACAUCUGUGUGGAAACUGCCUCCAACAACAGAAGCUAAUCAGCAGUCUGCACCAGUGCCACAGCAUCGAAGUGGAGGACUGUGGGACUGUGAUGAUGGAUGUGGUGGGUUCAUCUUCGGGAUGCCAGGGAAUGCAGAGCGGCACAGAACUAAAUCCAGGUUUUGAAAAGGUGGUGCAAGACACGCCUCAAGCAGAAACAUCAGACAUGAAGCUCAUUUCUAGGGACAUCAUCUGAAACGCACAACUCAGUUUGCCAAUCCAGUAUGGCUCAUGUAAUGCAUACUACACUAUGGCCCUCUUCUUGCUUGAGCAAAAAGGACUGGAAACUUCUACACAGAAAUGGAGAUAAAACCCAGCCGGUGACUGAUCAAUGUCAGGAGUGCACAAAUAUUCUAAUAUGGGCUCCAUCAGAUAUUGUCAGGUUGCCCAGGGCACAAACAGAUGGAAAUGAUUGAAUAAAUAAAUAAUAAAUACUCCAAAUAGGU